CACAACACUCCCUCGGACGCAGCAGUGUCUGGGCUUCUGCUGACGUGCGAGGGAGUGCUCGCCACGCGAG
rnacentral:pre_miRNA from 1 species